ACCCGGUCCCAUUCCGAACCCGGAAGUGAAACAUCAGCACGUCGAUGGUAGUCGGACGACAGGUCCCGCGAGAGUAGAUAGCUGCCAGGG
rnacentral:rRNA from 1 species